GGAAAGUUGGCAGAGUGACCGAAUGCGCUGGACUCGAAAUCCGGUAUACCUUUUUUAGGUAUCGGGGGUUUGAAUCCCUCACUUUCCG
rnacentral:tRNA from 1 species